rnacentral:rRNA from 1 species
GACGAACGCUGGCGGCGUGCCUAACACAUGCAAGUCGAACGGAGAUACGAUUUCGGUUGUAUCUUAGUGGCGAACGGGUGAGUAACGCGUGAGCAACCUGACCUUUAGAGGGGGAUAACACUUGGAAACAGGUGCUAAUACCGCAUAAGACCACGACCCGACAUCGGGAUGAGGUCAAAGGAGUAAUCCGCUAGAGGAGGGGCUCGCGUCCCAUUAGAUAGAUGGCGGGGUAACGGCCCACCAUGUCGACGAUGGGUAGCCGAGCUGAGAGGCUGAUCGGCCACACUGGAACUGAGACACGGUCCAGACUCCUACGGGAGGCAGCAGUGGGGAAUAUUGGGCAAUGGGCGCAAGCCUGACCCAGCAACGCCGCGUGAGGGAAGAAGGCCUUCGGGUUGUAAACCUCUGUCCUUGGUGACGAAAAAAUGACGGUAGCCAAGGAGGAAGCCCCGGCUAACUACGUGCCAGCAGCCGCGGUAAU